rnacentral:rRNA from 1 species
UACAGGGGGUGCAAACGUUGCUCGGAAUCAUUGGGCGUAAAGCGCACGUAGGCGGUUCGUUAUGUCGGAUGUGAAAGCCCUCGGCUUAACUGAGGAAGUGCACCCGAAACUGAGUAGCUAGAGUACUAAAGAGGGUCGCGGAAUUCCCGGUGUAGAGGUGAAAAUUCGUAGAUAUCGGGGAGGAACACCGGUGGCGAAGGCGGCGACCUGGGUAGAUACUGACGCUGAGGCGCGAAAAGCGUGGGGAGCAAACAGG